CCAACGUAAUUAUCAGCCAAUGCCUUUUUCAAGUCUCUCUUCUUUUCUGCUCAAGAGUAAAUACCAAUGAAACCUGUGAUGACCAUUUAUUUGUUUUGCUUCAUCUUAUAGGUUUCUUCGUAUUUUGCAUUUAAAUUUGGGUUAUUUUCAUUCAUCAAGACGUGUUAGUCUACUUCCCUAUCUUGGGUGUCACAGUCAAAAUAUCUAUAUGGCAUUAGUAUGGCAUUAAGGUUAUACAUUUUUUCGCACUGAUAUUAAAUGCAAGCUAUCAAGCUACUGAUAUUAAGGUUAUCAAUUUUUCACACUGCUAUGUUGCUAUCAGUACCAGGUGUUCUUGUAUUUCUAAUUUCUGUUUGCUUGCUGUUCAGGUGUUGUUAUGUUUGUUUGGUAAGCUUUGCAGCCACUUGUGUUUACAUUUUGUCCAAAACUCAUGAUGACCUGAUGGUGUACCUGGAACGUUCAGUUUUAAGGAUCAAAAGACCAUCACGGCAUACUGAUAAGCAUACUGUAGCAGUUCAGGCGUGGAGUCUGAAGGUAUAGUGCAUAGCCGUGCUGAAUCAGUGAAUUUGUGCAGCGUUUUACAGUUGAGGGCAAUCCUGGAAUUGCGAAAAGCUCAACGAGGCAUGAUUGUAUUUUCGCUCCCCAACCAUUUUCUGAGCACCACUUUGUGCUAUCUGUACUCCGAGUUCUAUGAUUUUUUUUUAUCUUCCCAUUACCGUCCAAUACAAAGUAGUGAAAAUUUGGUCUGAUCAAGUGAACAGUGAAUGAGGAUGUCGAUUAUGCUGGGUAUCUACUUGGUGCCCAACUGUUUACAUGCGGUACUUGAGUAACCAGCGAGGUAACAAUCAAUCUCCUCGGAAGCAACCAAAUGAGUUGGGGAAAGGUGUGGUUGACUGAGGCAGUCUUGUAAUACUGCAACAGCCACACAAGCAUGGCACUGUUCGGUGGAUGAGGUUUUAACUGUUCCUCGGAUGCAGUGUACCUAAGAUGGUCAUCUUAAAUGGAUUUUGG